CAAUGAGAGGUUUUGCAUGUUGUCUAGAGGACUUUGGUUGAGUUCAGAGCUGAGCACACUUGCCUUCAGACUCUCCUGGGACUCCCAGUUCUCAUCCAUAUGAGCAAGGGCUUCAUGUUACUGGCCGUGGCCCUGUGCUGAGUCCUCCUCCCGCCCAUGGCCCUCUCCUCCUGGCCAGUGGUCCUCCGCCUGAACAUGGCCGACUUUGUCUUCAGUUUCCUCUGCCUCGGCAUUGGGCUCCUGAUUUCUCUUCAGCCUGACGCUCUUUUCAGUUAACGGCAAGGCGGUGCACCCAAGUCCGGUGGUGUCCUACCUGGUGACCUCCUACCUGUGCUGGGACGCCAGCGACUUGAUGCUGCACUCCGGGCGCAGCGAGGCGGACAUCCAAACAGCGGAACUCAGACGCUGACUCCGAGCGCACCCCGGGCCUUCCCAUUUCAUACACCCUCGAGGAUGAGACCCAAGCACCUCCAAGGAAUAGCACCCGAGGUCUUCAGGACACCGACCGGUAGCCAUGGCCAGAUGCCCGGCCAACCCCUUCAGCGUGGCCACGCCCUGGAUAUUCGACCUCCCCUGAGGCCCCACCCCCUGAUAUCAGGCCACGCCCUCCGAGGGGACCGGUGGCAAACUCCAGCCCUCGCUCUAGGGCCCGCCCUUUGCGGCUUUGUCCCUGCCCACUGGGUCCUCACAGUACCUCCACCCCAGAGGCCCAGCAUCCCCUCCCGUUCUGCAGACACUUGUCCAGCGUCCCGCUGAGCUCGGCAGUGUGGCUAGUUUGUGUGGCCCUGCCCCUGGUGCCCAGCCAGGGUGGUCUGCAUGGAACUUCUUUCCCGGAGUUCCGGCCUCAGCUCCGAUGUCCACCCUUGUCCCCAGGUGGACACAGCACCGCCCAGCAUUUGGUGCAACUCCACCCUUCUGCAGAACGGGCCCCUCCCUGGGAAGGCAUGGCUUGCAAUAACAUCCCUCUGUACCUUUUCUGGCUUCC
rnacentral:lncRNA from 1 species